rnacentral:rRNA from 1 species
UACGAAGGUGGCAAGCGUUGUUCGGAAUUAUUGGGCGUAAAGGGCGCGUAGGCGGACUUGUAAGUCGAUUGUGAAAUCCCUGGGCUUAACCCGGGAACUGCAGUCGAAACUGCAUGUCUUGAAUGCUCGAGAGGAUGGUAGAAUUCCUGGUGUAGAGGUGAAAUUCGUAGAUAUCAGGAGGAAUACCGGAGGCGAAAGCGGCCAUCUGGCGAGACAUUGACGCUGAGGCGCGAAAGCGUGGGGGAUCAAAACAGG